UUGACUCUCAAAUCAGGUAGGACUACCCGCUGAACUUAAGCAUAUCAAU
rnacentral:rRNA from 1 species